rnacentral:rRNA from 1 species
GAUGAACGCUGGCGGCAGGCCUAACACAUGCAAGUCGAGCGGAUGAAUGGGAGCUUGCUCCCUGACAUUAGCGGCGGACGGGUGAGUAACACGUGGGCAACCUGCCCUGCAGAUGGGGAUAACUCCGGGAAACCGGGGCUAAUACCGAAUAAUCAGUUUGUCCGCAUGGACAAACUCUGAAAGACGGUUUCGGCUGUCACUGCAGGAUGGGCCCGCGGCGCAUUAGCUAGUUGGUGGGGUAAUGGCCUACCAAGGCGACGAUGCGUAGCCGACCUGAGAGGGUGAUCGGCCACACUGGGACUGAGACACGGCCCAGACUCCUACGGGAGCAG